rnacentral:rRNA from 1 species
UACGGAAGGGGCUAGCGUUGCUCGGAAUCACUGGGCGUAAAGGGCGCGUAGGCGGCGUUUUAAGUCGGGGUGAAAGCCUGUGGCUCAACCACAGAAUGGGCCUUCGAUACUGGGACGCUUGAGUCUGGUAGAGGUUGGUGGAACUGCGAGUGUAGAGGGUGAAAUUCGUAGAUAUUCGCAAGAACACCAGUGGCGAAGGCGGAGCUCAUCGUGCC